rnacentral:rRNA from 1 species
UACGGAGGAUGCAAGCGUUAUCCGGAAUGAUUGGGCGUAAAGCGUCCGCAGGUGGCUGUGUAAGUCUGCUGUCAAAGAGCGAAGCUCAACUUCGUAAAGGCAGUGGAAACUACACGGCUAGAGUGCGUUCGGGGCAGAGGGAAUUCCUGGUGUAGCGGUGAAAUGCGCAGAUAUCAGGAGGAACACCGGUGGCGAAGGCGGAUCUCUGGGCCUUACCUGACGCUGAGGCGCGAAAGCUAGGGGAGCAAACAGG